UUGUCGGAUAACCACAUUGGA
ensembl:piRNA 21ur-888 ncRNA